AUUAAAUUAUUAAAUGAUACUAACAUCUAGUUGUUUAAUUACCAUAAUUUAUAUCAUAAGGUAAAUAUGGUGAAUUUAUACUCGAAAUUUUUCUGUAAAUUAGUUUAAAUAUUAUUUAUAAAUUUUGUAAUAUUUUCUCUUCAGGGUAGAAAGAUUGGCCCGUUAAAUGGUUGGACAUACUCAAGAAAAGAUGGAGAGUUUGAUUAAAAGAAGUAAUCUUCAUCUUUUUUUGAGUAUGACCAAAGAUUUAAGAAUACUUCAAGGAAACCUUAAAUGUUAUAAGGUAUGUUUCAGAANCGAAUUACUCUUUGGCAUAGAAGGAUUGAACUAUUAAAUAGUUGGACGUACUCAAGAAAA